UACGUAGGGACCAAGCGUUGUUCGGAUUUACUGGGCGUAAAGGGUGCGUAGGCGGCGCGGUAAGUCGGGUGUGAAAUCUCGGAGCUUAACUCCGAAACUGCAUUCGAUACUGCCGUGCUUGAGGACUGGAGAGGAGACUGGAAUUUACGGUGUAGCGGUGAAAUGCGUAGAUAUCGUAAGGAAGACCAGUGGCGAAGGCGGGUCUCUGGGCCGAUACUGACGCUGAGGAGCGAAAGCGUGGGGAGCGAACAGG
rnacentral:rRNA from 1 species